AGGGCAGUUCUCGGGUGACACACCCUGGAAUCAGGCUCCCUCCUCUCUGGUUCCAGUGUGCAUGCGUCAGCCGAGAACCACAGCUG
rnacentral:pre_miRNA from 1 species